UACGUAGGUGGCAAGCGUUGUCCGGAUUUACUGGGCGUAAAGAGCGCGCAGGCGGUCGUUCAAGUCGCGUGUGAAAGCCCCCGGCCCAACUGGGGAGGGUCACGCGAUACUGAUCGACUCGAAGGCAGGAGAGGGUAGUGGAAUUCCCGGUGUAGUGGUGAAAUGCGUAGAUAUCGGGAGGAACACCAGUGGCGAAGGCGACUACCUGGCCUGUUCUUGACGCUGAGGCGCGAAAGCUAGGGGAGCAAACGGG
rnacentral:rRNA from 1 species